AUUGUGCUCUUGCCCCGACCUCCAACAGCCUGAUCUGCCUUUGAAGUUUUCCACCCCUCGACUUGAAGUGAGAUCGAUUACAGAAGAACAACAGGGACAAAGAAUCUGCUGCUUUACGUGCAGCCACUUUCCCACGAUCAGGGCAGCCAGCUCGACAGCAGCAAGAGAUCACCACUUUCCCUAUGCUCCUCCUUGCCACCAUUCAGAAAACAUACAGCCCCCGCCCCAAACUCUCUGCUUCGCCGAAAAAGCUGGAGGUGGGGAUGGCGAGCGGGGUGGGGGGCGAAGAAGGUUACAAAAAUGAAUCAUGUUGCUUAAGGAUGCAGGGACUAAGGGGUGACUUAGACAGUCUCGAGUUUUAAAAGGAAACAGGAAAAUCGGUACAGAGUAUGGGGGGGGCGUUUAAAGUGCAGAUAAAAAAUAAACACGCGUAAGUGGCAAAGUUUAGCUAAGCAGCAAGCAAGCACCUCCUUCCUGGAUUGCUGCUGCGUUCAGGGCUCCACGCACGCACGCACACACGAGCACACACACGCGCACCCCUCGCGGAGCCACGGGGGUGUCAGAGAGCCAAGCAGAGAGCCCCUGCCCGCCCGGCUGAUGGCAUCUGCGCCGGGGACAGUUCAAUAGCCAGAGCCGUACGUGUGUGUGCGGGCGCGACCUCAUGAACGGGACAAACCAUUUACCUUUGUGUCUGGAAGCGAUCGACACCCCCGGCUUGGGGCAGCGGCAGCGAGGAAGGUGACUAAGGCGCCGUCCUGCAACUUGUUCCGCGGGGGCGGGCGGCGGCGCCCCCGCGGGGCCGCACCGCCGGUGAGGCGGGCCGCCGUGGGGCCGCCGCCGGCCGGCACAGGAAGCACUGACUCAGCGCGGAGCCCCCGCCGGCGAAGCCUCGCAGCCUCUGCGUAAUCGCCCCGGGAAGCGGGGCCUCCCCCGGCGGCGGCGGCGGCGGCAGGAGCCGCUGCCCGCCCGCUGCUCCCCUCUGCCCCCCCGCUGGGCGCUGCGGGCCCGGGGCGGCCGCCGCCCUUGGUGCCCCCGCCCCGGUCACCUGCGUCACCGUCGCCCAGCAUUAGCCAAACCUGACAGAAACGGCAGACAUCACAAAUACAAUGAUUUUUCUUAAGUGUUCCGUGAAAAGCAUCAGGAUGGGCUUAAAAAAAACCAGACAAACACCUUGUUAGUGGCCACACACACACAGCACUGGCAGUGCACUCGGCUCCUUCGCGUACAAACCGAUUUUCAGGAAUGCUUCAGUCCUGCGGGAAGCAUCACUUAUUACCUCUAUCUUUCUAGGCAACUGAGAAUCCAAAUGCCAUAUAGUGCUCCUACAGCAAAGGAGACUUCAUCAGUCCUCAUCUGCCUCUCACGGCGCUGCUUCUUGAGCCCUUGCACUUAGGUGAUUGCUUGAGGAACAGCUUUAAUUUAAGAAGAAAUUACAUUUCUACCCCUUCUGGUUGUAAAAAUAUUUGCUUUAUAUGGCAAAGGCUCCAUUAGCUUUAGGGGUUUUUUGUUGUUGUUGACAGUUUCAACAUUUGAAAUAUUAAGGCAGGUUCAAUUUGAUAAUGUCUCCAAGUAUUAGUAAAAACGGUAGUUUCAUACUUUGCUGAUAAUUACCUUAGGAAGGUAAAUAAGAAUCUCGCUCUAAACGUGUACAUUUAUAUAAGCAUAAUUAUAUAUAUCUACUAUGCAAGCAUACACUUGCAUAUCUGUGUAAGGUUGUAACGGGUAACCAGCAGUCUCUCAAAAUCUGUGCUGAUACGUUGGUUUAGAUGAAGAUUCAUUACCCCUACAGUGAUUUAACUGUAAGUAGGUGUAUGUGUAUUAUUUACACAUAUUAUAUAUGUAUUAUGUAACGAUAUGUAUUAUUAUACAUAUAAUGUGUAUUUUGUACACAUGUUACUGAAGAUAGAAAUACUGUAAUUUAAAAAAAUCAAGUUGCAAGAUCAAGCAUAAAAAGUUUAGAAAAUAGGUUAAGACUGAUGGUUUAAUCUAAAUUCAUCCUCUGUCUAUAUGAUGGUCUUUUAAUUCAAUGUUAACACACUUGUUUUUUCUACUGUACCUUUCCUUUCAUGCUUAGGAUACUUUUUGUUAAACUAUACUAUCGUUUUUCUAUCCUUAUUAAAUAUGUGACUUCUUGUAUUGAUUAUUGCACACUAUUUAAACCUCACAUUGAAUACAGAAUAUGCUCAGGAGACUUUCUGUUAUUCUUUCAUCAUAGUAUCUUAUUAUUGGACAUGUUAAUAAAAUUAUUCAGGAGACUUUCUGUUAUUCUUUCAUCAUAGUAUCUUAUUAUUGGACAUGUUAAUAAAAUUAUCUACACAACA